rnacentral:rRNA from 1 species
UGCAGGCGCUAGGCCUACCAUGCAAGUCGAACGGCAGCACAGGAGAGCUUGCUCUCUGGGUGGCGAGUGGCGGACGGGUGAGGAAUACAUCGGAAUCUACUCUGUCGUGGGGGAUAACGUAGGGAAACUUACGCUAAUACCGCAUACGACCUACGGGUGAAAGCAGGGGAUCUUCGGACCUUGCGCGAUUGAAUGAGCCGAUGUCGGAUUAGCUAGUUGGCGGGGUAAAGGCCCACCAAGGCGACGAUCCGUAGCUGGUCUGAGAGGAUGAUCAGCCACACUGGAACUGAGACACGGUCCAGACUCCUACGGGAGGCAGCAGUGGGGAAUAUUGGACAAUGGGCGCAAGCCUGAUCCAGCCAUACCGCGUGGGUGAAGAAGGCCUUCGGGUUGUAAAGCCCUUUUGUUGGGAAAGAAAUCCAGCUGGUUAAUACCCGGUUGGGAUGACGGUACCCAAAGAAUAAGCACCGGCUAACUUCGUGCCAGCAGCCGCGGUAAUACGAAGGGUGCAAGCGUUACUCGGAAUUACUGGGCGUAAAGCGUGCGUAGGUGGUUAUUUAAGUCCGUUGUGAAAGCCCUGGGCUCAACCUGGGAACUG